UCUGAAGGGGGGAAGGGAAGCCGUGAGCCACGAAAGGAGGGCGGCCUCUAGAAGCUGCAGCAGGCAAGGAAGUGCUCUCUUGGAGCCUCCAGAAGGAGCACCGCUGGGCCAACACCCCACGAGACCCACCUCGGACUAACAGCCCACAGAACCGUGAGAGGCUACGUUUGUGUUGUCUAACGUCACCUAGUUUGUGGUGGAGUUACAGCACAUGAAAAGUGGAAAGGAGACCUGACCUGGCGUUCUGGCUCAGACAUCACCCCCCUGUGUAACCACAAACAUGCCACGGAACCUCUCCAGGCUGCAUCUAAGCAAACCUCCAAUGACAAAGGAAACACAGAGGACAGUCCUCUUCUGAAAGCCACCUCCACAGGAAGCGGUGCACUGGAAGAGAGGGGCGCACGGAGGAAGUCAGAAUUCUUCCCCAGACUCAGCCGGGAACUCCUACAGAACGCCUCUCAUUCACUGUGGUCAAGUAAGGAAACGUCUCGACCAGCAACCUUGUCGGAGUCACAGAAUAAAGGCACUGAUCAUUUGGAGAUGUGAAUUUAGGCAGAGUCUAUGUUACAGAUUGUGUGGACUCAAGUUGUUUAAUUUACUGUUGGGUUCUCUGCAGAACAUGUACAGAGGUUGAAUUACAAGUAAAAUGAGAAAAAAAAUCCUAUCUGGACCCUGGUACUUUGGUAAUGCGGUUUCUCUGAGCUAGUUUUGAUUUGGGGCUAGAAAGCAAAUGUGAGGAAGGGAACAGAGCUCCAAAGAAAGAGUAAGAUAA